rnacentral:rRNA from 1 species
GACGAACGCUGGCGGCGUGCCUAACACAUGCAAGUCGAGCGAAUGAAGUUCCUUCGGGAAUGGAUUUAGCGGCGGACGGGUGAGUAACACGUGGGCAACCUGCCUCAUAGAGGGGAAUAGCCUUCCGAAAGGGAGAUUAAUACCGCAUAAGAUUGUAGUACCGCAUGAUACAGCAAUUAAAGGAGCAAUCCGCUAUGAGAUGGGCCCGCGGCGCAUUAGCUAGUUGGUGAGGUAACGGCUCACCAAGGCGACGAUGCGUAGCCGACCUGAGAGGGUGAUCGGCCACAUUGGGACUGAGACACGGCCCAGACUCCUACGGGAGGCAGCAGUGGGGAAUAUUGCGCAAUGGGGGAAACCCUGAUGCAGCAACGCCGCGUGAGUGAUGACGGCCUUCGGGUUGUAAAGCUCUGUCUUCAGGGACGAUAAUGACGGUACCUGAGGAGGAAGCCACGGCUAACUACGUGCCAGCCGCCGCGGUAA